rnacentral:lncRNA from 1 species
CCUUUAGAACCCAUUUGUGGACCAGGAAAAAAAAUCUCUGUUUACCAAUUACUUAUGUAAUGUUUACCAUGUAGCAGGCUAUAUGCUAGAUUUUGGAUACAUAUUCGGAGGUAGAUGAAGAAGAGUUCCUGUUCUCAAAGUGUUUGCAGUCUAGUAGGUAAAAUAGCAAGAAACAGCCUCCCCUUUGUAGAAUAUUUGCAGUAGGAACUGUGUUUCUCUAUUCUAGAACCAUGGAAACAGAUGUGAUUGCACUCUGAGUGUUACUUUAUCCUAAUCCUAAUUCAUUUUUUCUCAAACACCCAAGACUGGUCCUGCCUUGGGACUUUGCUCUUGCUUUUCUGUCUGCCUAGAAUUCUCCUCUCCAAAAGUUAUCCAAAUGACUUACUCCUGCUCCUUCACAUCCCUGCUGAAAUGUCACUUUAUUAAUGUGAUCUCCCUAGACUAUUUUCUAUAAAAUAACACUUUCCACCUUCUGUCUUUUAUCCCAUUAUUUGAAUUUAUUUGUUAUGUUGAUAGCAUUACUAUUUACAUUUUAAUUUCUGUCCUCAUUAUGUUUAUCUCUUCCUCCCUCAAAUAUAAAUACUAGAUGAGCAGGGACUUUAUCUGUUUUGUUCACCAUUUUAUCCCCAAUGUCUUGAGUAGUUAUUGUCACAUAACAGGAUUCUUUAUACAUGUUUCUUGAAAGAAUUAACACCUCUUUGGGCACUUGAUUAUUUUUCCUUCUCAUGUUUCCCUGGAAAGCAUUUUCGGACUGAUUUUAUUCACAUUGUAUAUUUUUAGCUUAUUCCAGACUUCAAAUAAGCCUAAAAAAGAUACCUAUCAUGUUAAGUACCUAUUACAAUUUGUUUCCCCCACUCUCUUAGUUUUCAUAUAGGACCAGUCCACUUGAUAAACAUCUUGACAUCCUGAACAAAAAGCAUGGACUAUCUACCCACCCACUUGCUUCUCAGAUAUUUGGGUGUGCUGGGAAAGAGCAUAUGGAAAAAUUUGGUCUGGCUCAGCGUGCUGAACUCUGCUGGCAGCUGAAAGGGGAAGUCGGGGAAAAAAAGGCAAGUUCCCGGUGCAGAGGUGCUCUGCAGCAUAAAACUGGCAUUGGAGGAGCUGCCGUUGUCACGCUGUACCAGAUGGGCUUUCCUGAAGCUGCCAGAGACUGGAAACUCUUGGGUUCCCAGCAGCCUCAUCAGAUAAAUUAGAAAGGCUACCUCAGUAGCAGGUAUAGAAACCUCCAGGUAUUUUGGGAACCAUGGAAAGGAAGGAAUUCACCUAGAUCUGUCGGACAAAAUCUGUGGCAAGCUCUUGUCAUGACUUUCCUAGCCCUGAGAAGCUUUUUAAAAAAUUCAGUCUGGGACUCCUUAUAAAAAUUAUGGCAAAGCACCUCUUUGAGAAAAACUUGGUUGCCACUGAAGCAGAGCCCCAUGCCACCUGCUCCUGUUCCUGCCUCACUGCUCUUCACUCUCCCCGAAGAACAAGUCGAUCAGGAAGCCAU